rnacentral:rRNA from 1 species
AGUGAACGCUGGCGGUAGGCCUAACACAUGCCAGUCGAACGGCAGCACAGUAAGAGCUUGCUCUUACGGGUGGCGAGUGGCGGACGGGUGAGGAAUACAUCGGAAUCUACUUUUUCGUGGGGGAUAACGUAGGGAAACUUACGCUAAUACCGCAUACGACCUACGGGUGAAAGCAGGGGAUCUUCGGACCUUGCGCGAUUGAAUGAGCCGAUGUCGGAUUAGCUAGUUGGCGGGGUAAAGGCCCACCAAGGCGACGAUCCGUAGCUGGUCUGAGAGGAUGAUCAGCCACACUGGAACUGAGACACGGUCCAGACUUCUACGGGAGGCAGCAGUGGGGAAUAUUGGACAAUGGGCGCAAGCCUGAUCCAGCCAUACCGCGUGGGUGAAGAAGGCCUUCGGGUUGUAAAGCCCUUUUGUUGGGAAAGAAAAGCAGCAGGUUAAUACCCCGCUGUUCUGACGGUACCCAAAGAAUAAGCACCGGCUAACUUCGUG